CGGGGGCCGGGGCGGCGGUGGUGGCGCCGGUCACCUUCGGCGCGGCCGGCGGGGUGCGGGCCGCCGGGAUCUUCCCGGCGCCCCCGCCC
rnacentral:tRNA from 1 species